rnacentral:misc_RNA from 1 species
GAUGAAGAACGCAGCGAAAUGCGAUAAGUAGUGUGAAUUGCAGAAUUCAGUGAAUCAUCGAAUCUUUGAACGCACAUUGCGCCCCUUGGUAUCCCGAGGGGCAUGCCUGUUCGAGCGUCAUUUCACCACUCAAGCCUGGCUUGGUGUUGGGCGACGUCCCCUUUGGGGACGCGCCUCGAAACGCUCGGCGGCGUGGCACCGGCUUUAAGCGUAGCAGAAUCUUUCGCUUUGGAAGUCGGGGCCUCGUCUGCCGGAAGACCUACUCGCAAGGUUGACCUCGGAUCAGGCAGGGAUACCCGCUGAACUUAAGCAUAUCAAUAAGCGGAGGA